rnacentral:rRNA from 1 species
UACGAAGGGGGCUAGCGUUGCUCGGAAUUACUGGGCGUAAAGCGCACGUAGGCGGAUUGUUAAGUCGGGGGUGAAAUCCUGGAGCUCAACUCCAGAACUGCCUUCGAUACUGGCGAUCUCGAGUUCGGGAGAGGUGAGUGGAACUGCGAGUGUAGAGGUGAAAUUCGUAGAUAUUCGCAAGAACACCAGUGGCGAAGGCGGCUCACUGGCCCGAUACUGACGCUGAGGUGCGAAAGCUAGGGUAGCAAACGGG